GACGAACGCUGGCGGCGUGCCUAAUACAUGCAAGUUGAGCGCUGAAGGUUGGUACUUGUACCAACUGGAUGAGCAGCGAACGGGUGAGUAACGCGUGGGUAAUCUGCCUUUAAGCGGGGGACAACAUCUGGAAACGAAUGCUAAUACCGCAUAAAAACUUUAAACACAAGUUUUAAGAUUGAAAGAUGCAAUUGCAUCACUCAAUGAUGAUACCGCGUUGUCUUAGCUAGUUGGUAAGGUAAAGGCUCACCAAGGCGAGCAUACAUAGCCGACCUGGGAGGGUGACGGCCACAAUGGGACCUGGGAAACGCUCAAACCUCUUCGGGAGGCAGCCGGAGGGGAAUUUUGGCCAAGGGCGGAAGGCCGACCGAGGCACGGCGGGGGAGGGGAGAAGGGUCUCGGAUCCUAAAACCUUGUUUAUUAGGAAGAACCUAGUGGGGAGGUGAAAGUGCACCAAGUGACGGUAACUACCCAGAAAGGCACGGCUAACUACGUG
rnacentral:rRNA from 1 species